rnacentral:rRNA from 1 species
UACGGGGGGGGCAAGCGUUGUUCGGAAUUACUGGGCGUAAAGGGCUCGUAGGCGGCCAAUUAAGUCCGACGUGAAAUCCCCAGGCUUAACCUGGGAACUGCGUCGGAUACUGGAUGGCUUGAAUUCGGGAGAGGGAUGCAGAAUUCCAGGUGUAGCGGUGAAAUGCGUAGAUAUCUGGAGGAAUACCGGUGGCGAAGGCGGCAUCCUGGACCGACAUUGACGCUGAUGAGCGAAAGCUAGGGGAGCAAACGGG